rnacentral:rRNA from 1 species
UGAGACGAGUGGCGAACUGGUGAGUAACACGUGGGUAACCUGCCCUUGAAGUAGGGGAUAACACCUGGAAACAGGUGCUAAUACCGUAUAACAACCAAAACCACCUGGUUUUGGUUUAAAAGACGGCUUCGGCUGUCACUUUAGGAUGGACCCGCGGCGUAUUAGCUUGUUGGUAAGGUAACGGCCUACCAAGGCGAUGAUACGUAGCCGACCUGAGAGGGUAAUCGGCCACAUUGGGACUGAGACACGGCCCAAACUCCUACGGGAGGCAGCAGUAGGGAAUCUUCCACAAUGGACGAAAGUCUGAUGGAGCAACGCCGCGUGAGUGAUGAAGGGUUUCGGCUCGUAAAACUCUGUUGUUGGAGAAGAACAGGUGUCAGAGUAACUGUUGACAUCUUGACGGUAUCCAACCAGAAAGCCACGGCUAACUACGUGCCAGCAGCCGCGGUAAUACGUAGGUGGCAAGCGUUGUCCGGAUUUAUUGGGCGUAAAGCGAGCGCAGGCGGUUUUUUAGGUCUGAUGUGAAAGCCUUCGGCUUAACCGGAGAAGUGCAUCGGAAACCGGGAGACUUGAGUGCAGAAGAGGACAGUGGAACUCCAUGUGUAGCGGUGAAAUGCGUAGAUAUAUGGAAGAACACCAGUGGCGAAGGCGGCUGUCUGGUCUGUAACUGACGCUGAGGCUCGAAAGCAUGGGUAGCGAACAGGAUUAGAUACCCUGGUAGUCCAUGCCGUAAACGAUGAGUGCUAAGUGUUGGAGGGUUUCCGCCCUUCAGUGCUGCAGCUAACGCAUUAAGCACUC